rnacentral:rRNA from 1 species
AUGAAAUUUAAUUCCACAAAAGAGGCUUGGGGCUUUUGGACUUGUUAUGGAGGUCAUAUUGGUUUUGACGUAAGGGUAAAUUAUGAAAAUAAGAGCAAACUUGAUGGGGCAAUCACUUCCGCGAGAUACGUUUGUUCCAAUGAGGGCUACCGAAGAAUAGACAAAAGAGAUCAUAAUACCAAGCGUCCUCGUGCAGAAACAAGGACUGGUUGUAAAGUUCGAAUGGGAAUCACCAUCGACCAUGAAACAGGAAAUUAUGAAGUACAUGAGUUAGUCACUGAACACAACCAUGUCUUGCAAUUGCCUGGAACAUGCCACUUGAUGCCAUCACAGCGGAAGAUAUCGACCUUGCAAGCUUUUGACAUUGAAAUUGCAGAUGAUUCAGGAAUUGUACCAAAAGCAGCCCAUGAGUUGGCAAGUCGGCAAGUUGGUGGGUCAUCAAACCUUACCUACACACCUCGUGAUCACAAGAACUAUUUGCGAACCAAGCGUCAAAGGGAGUUGAUAUAUGGUGAAGCUGGAAGUAUGCUCAAGUACUUUCGAGAUAAAAAAAUGAGAAUCCUGCAUUUGAAUAUGACGUACAACACGACUGCAAUGAACAAAUAG